AAACAAGUUCAGUGAUCGCCCGUCAAUUUUUGACGGGAGGAAAGUCCGAGCACCAUGGAAAAUCACAGCCGGUAACACCGCGCCGCUCGUCGCGAAAGCGCCGAGAAGGGAAAGUGCCACAGAGACAAUACUAACCUGCCGAAAGGCGGGUCAAAGGUGAAAAGCCCUGUCUAAGAUGGGGACUAAAAGGCUUUCAAAAGCCAAAAAGUGGGUAAACCCUGUGAGGUGCAAGGUGGGAUGGAAAGAUUUAAUUUCUUCCAAUUGAAGCUAAAUCUUCCCGCCGCAAGAGUUGUUGAAAACAUACCAAAGCAUUAAAAAGCUUAAGGGUCCAAACAACAACCCAAAGAUAGAUGAUCACAGCCCUAGACAUAAGCGAAAGCGAAUGUCCCGGGACACAGAACUCGGCUUACAGAACCUGUUUAAGA
rnacentral:RNase_P_RNA from 2 species